AUUGAACGCUGGCGGCAGGCCUAACACAUGCAAGUCGAGCGAGUGGCGGACGGGUGAGUAAUAUCUGGGGAACUGCCUGAUGGAGGGGGAUAACUACUGGAAACGGUAGCUAAUACCGCAUACCAUCAGAUGUACCCAUAUGGGAUUAGCUAGUUGGUGGGGUAACGGCUCACCAAGGCGACGAUCUCUAGCUGGUCUGAGAGGAUGACCAGCCACACUGGGACUGAGACACGGCCCAGACUCCUACGGGAGGCAGCAGGGGGGAAUAUUGCACAAUGGGCGCAAGCCUGAUGCAGCCAUGCCGCGUGUAUGAAGAAGGCCUUAGGGUUGUAAAGUACUUUCAGCGGGGAGGCGUUACCCGCAGAAGAAGCACCGGCUAACUCCGUGCCAGCAGCCGCGGUAAUUC
rnacentral:rRNA from 1 species